AGAGUUUGAUCAUGGCUCAGGACGAACGCUGGCGGCGUGCCUAACACAUGCAAGUCGAGCGAGGGACUUCGGUCCCUAGCGGCGGACGGGUGAGUAACACGUGGGUAACCUGCCUCAUAGUGGGGGAUAGCCUUCCGAAAGGAAGAUUAAUACCGCAUAUACUCUCGGUAUCGCAUGAUACUUAGAGGAAAGGAGCAAUCCGCUAUGAGAUGGACCCGCGGCGCAUUGGCUAGUUGGUGAGGUAACGGCUCACCAAGGCCACGAUGCGUAGCCGACCUGAGAGGGUGAUCGGCCACAUUGGAACUGAGACACGGUCCAGACUCCUACGGGAGGCAGCAGUGGGGAAUAUUGCACAAUGGGCGAAAGCCUGAUGCAGCAACGCCGCGUGAGUGAUGAGGGCCUUCGGGUUGUAAAGCUCUGUCUUUUGGGACGAUAAUGACGGUACCAAAGGAGGAAGCCACGGCUAACUACGUGCCAGCAGCCGCGGUAAUACGUAGGUGGCAAGCGUUGUCCGGAUUUACUGGGCGUAAAGGAUGCGUAGGUGGAUAUUUAAGUGGGAUGUGAAAUACCCGGGCUCAACUUGGGUGCUGCAUUCCAAACUGGAUAUCUAGAGUGCAGGAGAGGUAAGUGGAAUUCCUAGUGUAGCGGUGAAAUGCGUAGAGAUUAGGAAGAACACCAGUGGCGAAGGCGACUUACUGGACUGUAACUGACACUGAGGCAUGAAAGCGUGGGGAGCAAACAGGAUUAGAUACCCUGGUAGUCCACGCCGUAAACGAUGGGUACUAGGUGUAGGAGGGUCCAACCUUCUGUGCCGCCGUUAACACAAUAAGUACCCCGCCUGGGAAGUACGGUCGCAAGAUUAAA
rnacentral:rRNA from 1 species